rnacentral:rRNA from 1 species
UUAAUUUGAGAGUUUGAUCCUGGCUCAGGACGAACGCUGGCGGCGUGCCUAAUACAUGCAAGUCGAACGAACUCUGGUAUUGAUUGGUGCUUGCAUCAUGAUUUACAUUUGAGUGAGUGGCGAACUGGUGAGUAACACGUGGGAAACCUGCCCAGAAGCGGGGGAUAACACCUGGAAACAGAUGCUAAUACCGCAUAACAACUUGGACCGCAUGGUCCGAGUUUGAAAGAUGGCUUCGGCUAUCACUUUUGGAUGGUCCCGCGGCGUAUUAGCUAGAUGGUGGGGUAACGGCUCACCAUGGCAAUGAUACGUAGCCGACCUGAGAGGGUAAUCGGCCACAUUGGGACUGAGACACGGCCCAAACUCCUACGGGAGGCAGCAGUAGGGAAUCUUCCACAAUGGACGAAAGUCUGAUGGAGCAACGCCGCGUGAGUGAAGAAGGGUUUCGGCUCGUAAAACUCUGUUGUUAAAGAAGAACAUAUCUGAGAGUAACUGUUCAGGUAUUGACGGUAUUUAACCAGAAAGCCACGGCUAACUACGUGCCAGCAGCCGCGGUAAUACGUAGGUGGCAAGCGUUGUCCGGAUUUAUUGGGCGUAAAGCGAGCGCAGGCGGUUUUUUAAGUCUGAUGUGAAAGCCUUCGGCUCAACCGAAGAAGUGCAUCGGAAACUGGGAAACUUGAGUGCAGAAGAGGACAGUGGAACUCCAUGUGUAGCGGUGAAAUGCGUAGAUAUAUGGAAGAACACCAGUGGCGAAGGCGGCUGUCUGGUCUGUAACUGACGCUGAGGCUCGAAAGUAUGGGUAGCAAACAGGAUUAGAUACCCUGGUAGUCCAUACCGUAAACGAUGAAUGCUAAGUGUUGGAGGGUUUCCGCCCUUCAGUGCUGCAGCUAACGCAUUAAGCAUUCCGCCUGGGGAGUACGGCCGCAAGGCUGAAACUCAAAGGAAUUGACGGGGGCCCGCACAAGCGGUGGAGCAUGUGGUUUAAUUCGAAGCUACGCGAAGAACCUUACCAGGUCUUGACAU